rnacentral:tRNA from 1 species
GCCGCCGUAGCUCAGCUCGCAGUUGCCCAAGACUAAAGCAGCCAAAAGCGCCAGACUUGUAAUUUGGUGGUCACGUGUUCAAAUCACGUCGGCGGCUCCA